UAGAAAAUAGUUCCAAUGUGUCCAAAU
rnacentral:piRNA from 1 species